UACGUAGGGUGCAAGCGUUGUCCGGAAUUAUUGGGCGUAAAGAGCUCGUAGGCGGUUUGUCGCGUCUGCUGUGAAAACCCAGGGCUCAACCCUGGGCCUGCAUUCGAUACGGGCAGGCUAGAGUUCGGUAGGGGAGACUGGAAUUCCGUGGUGUAGCGGUGAAAUGCGCAGAUAUCAGGAAGAACACCCGUGGCUAAGGCGGCUCUCUAGUACGUGACUGACGCUGAGACGCGAAAGCCGUGGGGAGCGA
rnacentral:rRNA from 1 species